GACACUUAAGCAAACUCGAUCGUUGUACACUGUGAUGGGCGAGCAUCACUGUGUCUCCGUGCCGUGUAAGAGCUCCCCUGGCCAUCAGGCACUUGAAAGGUCCUUCGACGACGAGUUACAAUAGUGGUGUGUUAGAUACGUCAGGUGAUGGUAUCUACUGUUGUGCAAUACGUAUCCGGCCACGGCACGGAACGAACGGGAACUGUGGUGCAGACAUACAAAGAGUUAAGCCUAUUAGUCAUUAACUCUAAGGACGGGGCCAUGGGGCGGUACGCAAAGGAUACGGAUGAGCGAGUAUGCAGGCCCAAUACUCAAUAGCUCGAUCCGAUCCAAGCACAUGAGUUGACUGCGGCGCCAGGUUAACCAAUGUGCUAGAUUCUAUUUGGCCAGUAGAAUCUUGUGUCUUAUGCGAUUUGAUACCAAGACACAGAACGAAAGUUAGUUGAAGAGUUAUUAAACUCUUAUGAAGUAUGGUUGUGCAAUCACAACUUAUGACUUUAACCUAUAAAGUGGAUAUGGACUUGCAAUUAUAACAUGGAAUCUCUACACACCCCAUGAGCUCGAUCCAAUCCACGCACACGAGUUGCCUGAGUAGCGACAGGUAUACCGAUGUGCAAUACGUAUCCGGCCAUAGGCACGGAACGAACAGGAACUGUGGUGCAGACAUACAAGGGCCAUGGGGCGGUACGCAAAGGAUACGGAUGAGCGAGUAUGCAGGCCCAAUACUCAAUAGCUCGAUCCGAUCCAAGCACAUGAGUUGACUGCGGCGUCAGGUUAACCAAUGUGCAAUACGUAUCCGGCUACGGCACGGAACGAACAGGAACUGUGGUGCAGACAUACAAGGGCCAUGGGGCGGUACGCAAA